GACGAACGCUGGCGGCGUGCUUAACACAUGCAAGUCGAACGAUGAACCACUUCGGUGGGGAUUAGUGGCGAACGGGUGAGUAACACGUGGGCAAUCUGCCCUUCACUCUGGGACAAGCCCUGGAAACGGGGUCUAAUACCGGAUAACACUUCCACUCUCCUGGGUGGUUGUUAAAAGCUCCGGCGGUGAAGGAUGAGCCCGCGGCCUAUCAGCUUGUUGGUGAGGUAAUGGCUCACCAAGGCGACGACGGGUAGCCGGCCUGAGAGGGCGACCGGCCACACUGGGACUGAGACACGGCCCAGACUCCUACGGGAGGCAGCAGUGGGGAAUAUUGCACAAUGGGCGAAAGCCUGAUGCAGCGACG
rnacentral:rRNA from 1 species